rnacentral:rRNA from 1 species
GACGGAGGAUGCAAGUGUUAUCCGGAAUCACUGGGCGUAAAGCGUCUGUAGGUGGUUCGAAAAGUCCACUGUUAAAACUUGAAGCUUAACUUCAAAGAUGCCGUGGAAACUUUCAAACUAGAGUGUGGUAGGGGUAGAGGGAAUUUCCAGUGGAGCGGUGAAAUGCGUAGAUAUUGGAAAGACCACCGAUGGCGAAGGCACUCUACUGGGCCAUUACUGACACUGAGAGACGAAAGCUAGGGGAGCAAAUGGG